UCGAGAAUUUUUGACAAUGGGGGAAACCCUGAUCGAGCGACGCCGCGUGGAGGAUGAAGGUCUUCGGAUUGUAAACUCCUGUCAUUUGGGAACAAGGUGCACACGUUAACUGCGUGAGUAUUGAUAGUACCAGAAGAGGAAGAGACGGCUAACUCUGUGCCAGCAGCCGCGGUAAUACAGAGGUCUCAAGCGUUGUUCGGAUUCAUUGGGCGUAAAGGGUGCGUAGGCGGCGCGGUAAGUCGGGUGUGAAAUCUCGGAGCUUAACUCCGAAACUGCAUUCGAUACUGCCGUGCUUGAGGACUGGAGAGGAGACUGGAAUUUACGGUGUAGCGGUGAAAUGCGUAGAUAUCGUAAGGAAGACCAGUGGCGAAGGCGGGUCUCUGGACAGUUCCUGACGCUGAGGCACGAAGGUCAGGGGAGCAAACG
rnacentral:rRNA from 1 species